rnacentral:rRNA from 1 species
UACAGAGGUCUCGAGCGUUGUUCGGAUUCAUUGGGCGUAAAGGGUGCGUAGGCUGCGAUGUAAGUCUGAUGUGAAAUCCCUGGGCUCAACCCGGGAACUGCAUUGGAUACUGCGUUGCUAGAGUACUGGAGAGGAGACUGGAAUUUACGGUGUAGCAGUGAAAUGCGUAGAGAUCGUAAGGAAGACCAGUGCGAAGGCGAGUCUCUGGACAGUUACUGACGCUGAGGCACGAAGGCCAGGGGAGCAAACGGG